AAAUUAAGCUUCGUUGCGCGUCUUGGAAUGGUCGGGAACUGUAGGGCCAGCGCCUAAUGUCUCUACAAAAGGAAGUCAAGCCGACCUGGCCUCUGUCCACGACGUACCGACAGCAGUCGAGCACAGCACUCUACAACCCAAUUCAGGGCGUUGCUCGCGUUGGGAGCGGGAAUCAACGGUCGUAAGUCAACCCGUGAGAUUCCCCUGACGGCCACUAUUCGGCUCUCCUUCCACCCCUACUGCAGUUCAGGAGUACCGGGAAUGCCCGACCCGAUGUGUGCACGAUGUUACCACCACUGUCACCCGUCGCUCGUGCGCUCACACUCGAUUAGAGGUUUUCGGUAGAGUCAAGCCUAACGUGAGACGUUGAGCUCACGUACUUCAACCUUAGCGAUCAUUAGCGCCUAGUCGUACGGC
rnacentral:rRNA from 1 species